rnacentral:rRNA from 1 species
UACAGAGGUCCCGAGCGUUGUUCGGAUUCACUGGGCGUAAAGGGUGCGCAGGUGGCGCUUCAAGUUUGAUGUGAAAGCCCCAAGCUCAACUUGGGAAUGGCAUUGAAUACUGAAGUGCUUGAGGUUUGGAGGGGGGACUGGAAUUCUCGGUGUAGCAGUGAAAUGCGUAGAUAUCGAGAGGAACACCAGUGGCGAAGGCGAGUCCCUGGACAACACCUGACACUGAGGCACGAAAGCUAGGGGAGCAAACAGGAUUAGAAACCCCAGUAGUCC